CUGACUCACCGCUGGUCUCCAAAACUGCAUGCACCUGAUAUUUGACUUCAUACGUUCUGUACAGGUCCGGAAAGAGCAGAGGAUGAACCCGAAAGAGGAAGAAAGUCCCAGGGCUUACCCCGUCUCCUAAAGGAACUGCUGAAGGAAAUAGAGAAGGCACCGCGUGGAAUUGACCAAGAAACUGAGCAGGAUGCACUGCAGGAAGGCAGCCAUCCCACCCUGCCGGUCUCGGACAGCGGAACGCAGGCAGCGCCAACAGCUGGCACGCCAGGGAUGAAUGCCGGGAAAAGCACAGAGGCUGCUGUUCACCAAUCUGCGCGGAAGCGCUACAUCGCAGCCGUGGUAAUGUUCCCUGCUGCGGUGCUGGCCUGUGGUGCUGUGAUAUGGAUGUGCAAAACAUACUUGUGAGUAGGCUUUUCCCCAAAACACCCGAUUGCUGCAUUUGGCAAUGAAGCAUCUGUAGUGCCAGGAUCCUGGACGGCCAAAUCAGCUGCUGGCAGUGCACUGCCAGGACUUACCAAGUUGCCAAGUCUUUCAAGUUUCCCCUUAUUUCCUGUCAGUGAGUAGUGCUUUCUGAAACUCCUUCUCACAGAGUGUGCAAGAGAGAAGAGAGAGCAGCAGAACCGGCUCAUCCUGAUACCAACUAGGAGAGAGUUCCAACUGGAGACGAGGGCAGAAUGGAGCUGGGAGAGGCAACAGAAGAGACUCUUGCCCCAUCAAACA